rnacentral:lncRNA from 1 species
AUUAUGUGUUACAAAUAUAAAAUUAUUAUUAUUAUAUGCAUGUGAAAUAUAGAUGAUUAUAUGUAAUGAUAUAAUCGGGGUGCAGAGCAGAACAUGAAACCUACUUCUACUUCAGAAAACCUGUUUAUUCUGUUCUCUUCACAGGAGAGUGUGGCUCUUUCAUUUACAUCUCAACUGUAAAAACAAAUUCCAGGCUCUUGGUUCAAAAGCUCAGGAACACUCUGCUCUAUGAGCAGAAAGGAGACUGCAAAACUACUUGCCUAAAGAAAUGAAAUAACAGCGAGCAUUUGCCAAAGCACUCCCACCACUUGAAGCAGUUUGUUUUGCAGAACACUCACUGCCACACUUCUGAGUGAGAAAGAAGCAACAGGAGAGCAAAAUCUUUCCUUUAAUCAUUUCUGAAGAGCUUAUCAUAGUAGCACUGAGAUAUUCAUA